UACGGAGGGGCUAGCGUUGUUCGGAAUUACUGGGCGUAAAGCGCACGUAGGCGGCUUUGUAAGUUAGAGGUGAAAGCCCGGGGCUCAACUCCGGAAUUGCCUUUAAGACUGCAUCGCUAGAAUUGUGGAGAGGUAAGUGGAAUUCCGAGUGUAGAGGUGAAAUUCGUAGAUAUUCGGAAGAACACCAGUGGCGAAAGCACUCUGCUGGGCCGACACUGACACUGAGAGACGAAAGCUAGGGGAGCGAAUGGG
rnacentral:rRNA from 1 species